GAAGGCAAAUGAUGGAAAAAAAUUCUUAUCCUACACACUGAAUUAAAUGUGGACCAAAAACUCCGCUUAUUAUCUGAUGCCUUU
rnacentral:snoRNA from 13 species